GAGGAGCCUGCGUCGGAUUAGCUAGUUGGUGGGGUAAAGGCCUACCAAGGCGACGAUCCGUAGCUGGUCUGAGAGGACGAUCAGCCACACUGGAACUGAGACACGGUCCAGACUCCUACGGGAGGCAGCAGUUAGGAAUCUUGGGCAAUGGGCGCAAGCCUGACCCAGCCAUGCCGCGUGUGUGAAGAAGGCCUUCGGGUUGUAAAGCACUUUCAGCGGUGAAGAAAAGCUCAGGGCUAAUAUCCUUGAGUCUUGACGUUAACCACAGAAGAAGCACCGGCUAACUCCGUGCCAGCAGCCGCGGUAAUACGGAGGGUGCGAACGUUAAUCGGAAUCACUGGGCGUAAAGCGCGCGUAGGCGGUCUGUUAAGUGGGAUGUGAAAUCCCCGGGCUUAACCUGGGAAUUGCAUUUCAAACUGGCAGACUAGAGUGCGGUAGAGGGAGGUAGAAUUUCCUGUGUAGCGGUGAAAUGCGUAGAUAUAGGAAGGAAUACCAGUGGCGAAGGCGGCCUCCUGGAUCGACACUGACGCUGAGGCGCGAAAGCGUGGGGAGCAAACAGGAUUAGAU
rnacentral:rRNA from 1 species